AUGCACGCUGGCGGCGUGCCUAAUCCCUGCAAGUCGCGCGCACAGACGAGGAGCUUGCUCCUCUGACGUUAGCGGCGGACGGGUGAGUAACACGUGGAUAACCUACCUAUAAGACUGGGAUAACUUCGGGAAACCGGAGCUAAUACCGGAUAAUAUAUUGAACCGCAUGGUUCAAUAGUGAAAGACGGUUUUGCUGUCACUUAUAGAUGGAUCCGCGCCGCAUUAGCUAGUUGGUAAGGUAACGGCUUACCAAGGCGACGAUGCGUAGCCGACCUGAGAGGGUGAUCGGCCACACUGGAACUGAGACACGGUCCAGACUCCUACGGGAGGCAGCAGUAGGGAAUCUUCCGCAAUGGGCGAAAGCCUGACGGAGCAACGCCGCGUGAGUGAUGAAGGUCUUCGGAUCGUAAAACUCUGUUAUUAGGGAAGAACAAAUGUGUAAGUAACUAUGCACGUCUUGACGGUACCUAAUCAGAAAGCCACGGCUAACUACGUG
rnacentral:rRNA from 1 species